rnacentral:rRNA from 1 species
AUUGAACGCUAGCGGGAUGCCUUACACAUGCAAGUCGAACGGAGUGGCGAACGGGUGAGUAAUGUAUCGGAACGUGCCCCGUCGCGGGGGAUAACUACGCGAAAGCGUAACUAAUACCGCAUACUAUUGGAGCGGCCAAUAUCGGAUUAGCUAGUUGGUGGGGUAACGGCUCACCAAGGCGACGAUCCGUAGCUGGUUUGAGAGGACGACCAGCCACACUGGAACUGAGACACGGUCCAGACUCCUACGGGAGGCAGCAGUGGGGAAUUUUGGACAAUGGGGGAAACCCUGAUGCAGCCAUGCCGCGUGUGCGAAGAAGGCCUUCGGGUUGUAAAGUACUUUCAGCGAGGAGGCGUUACUCGCAGAAGAAGCACCGGCUAACUCCGUGCCAGCAGCCGCGGUAAUAC